CUUUACAGCCAUAGCACCUUAAGUGCCCCAGAUGUCGUCCAAUCUCGGAAGCUAAGCAUUGUCUGGCAUGAUUAGUACUUGGUUUUGACACCAUCUGGCAAUACCAGGUGCGGUAAGCC
rnacentral:rRNA from 11 species